rnacentral:rRNA from 1 species
GACAGAGGUGCCAAGCGUUAGGCGGAAUCACUGGGCUUAAAGCGUGUGUAGGCGGCUUUGUAAGUCAGAGGUGAAAUCCCAGUGCUCAACACUGGAACUGCCUUUGAGACUGCAUCGCUUGAAUCCAGGAGAGGUGAGUGGAAUUCCGAGUGUAGAGGUGAAAUUCGUAGAUAUUCGGAAGAACACCAGUGGCGAAGGCGGCUCACUGGACUGGUAUUGACGCUGAGGUGCGAAAGCGUGGGGAGCAAACAGG